rnacentral:rRNA from 1 species
UACCGAAUAAUAUCAUUCUUCGAUAGUUGGAUGAUCAAAGAUUUAUCGGUGUGGGAGCGGCCUAUCUCCUAUCAGCUUGUUGGUGAGGUAAAAGCUCACCAAGGCGACGACGGGUAGCGGGACUGAGAGGUUGGCCCGCAACAUCGGGACUGAGACACUGCCCGGACCUCCACGGAGGGCUGCAGUAACGAAUAUUGCGCAAUGGGCGAAAGCCUGACGCAGCGACGCCGCGUGUAGGAGGAAGUCCUUCGGGAUGUAAACUACUGUCAGGGGGAAGAAAGUGCGCUUCGGCGCAUUGAUCUAACCCAGAGGAAGUCACGGCUAACUUCGUGCCAGCAGCCGCGGUAAGACGAAGGUGGCAAGCGUUGUUCGGUAUUACUGGGCUUAAAGCGUGUGUAGGCGGAAUCAUAAGCGUCUUGUGAAAGCCCCCGGCUUAACCGGGGAAUUGCUCGACGAACUGUAAUUCUUGAGGCAAGUAGGGGUGCAUGGAACUCUUGGUGGAGCGGUGGAAUGCGUAGAUAUCAAGAGGAACGCCAGUGGUGAAGACGGUGCACUGGGCUUGUCCUGACGCUGAGACACGAAAGCGUGGGGAGCGAACGGGAUUAGAUACCCCGGUAGUCCACGCUGUAAACGAUGCCUACUAGGUCGUGGUGGUUCUGACACCAGCACGGCCGAAGCAAAAGUGUUAAGUAGGCCGCCUGGGGAGUACGGUCGCAGGGCUAAAACUCAAAGGAAUUGACGGGGGCUCACACAAGCGGUGGAGCAUGUGGAUUAAUUCGACCAACGCGCAGAACCUUACCUGGGUUUGACAUGCUUGGAUGCUUGCUUGGAAACAGGUUAAGCUGCCCUUCGGGGUGAAACUUGCACAGGUGCUGCAUGGCUGUCGUCAGCUCGUGUCGUGAGAUGUCGGGUUAAGUCCUUUAACGAGCGAAACCCUUGCCGUUAGUUGCCAGCGGGUAAUGCCGGGGACUCUAGCGGGACUGCCGGUGUUAAACCGGAGGAAGGUGGGGAUGACGUCAAGUCAUCAUGGCCUUUAUGCCCAGGGCCUCACACGUGCUACAAUGGCGGAUACAGAGCGAAGCAAGACCGCGAGGUGGAGCAAAUCGCAAAAAGUCCGCCCCAGUUCGGAUUGCAGGCUGUCAACUCGCCUGCAUGAAGGUGGAAUCGCUAGUAAUCGCGUAUCAGCUAUGACGCGGUGAAUGUGUUCCUGAGCCUUGUACACACCGCCCGUCAAGUC